UGUGUCGGCCAUGAGUCGAACCUGGAUCAACUGCUUGGGAGGCAGCUUUGCUAACCAUUAUACCACCAACUC